AGCCAUCGGAGUAGUUUCUUUACACGGCUC
rnacentral:piRNA from 1 species